CUGUGGCCAAAUGGACAAGGCGACUGCCUUCUAAGCAGUAGAUUGUGGGUUCGAUCCCCACCAG
rnacentral:tRNA from 1 species